CCAGACUCCUACGGGAGGCAGCAGUGGGGAAUAUUGGGCAAUGGGCGCAAGCCUGACCCAGCAACGCCGCGUGAAGGAAGAAGGCUUUCGGGUUGUAAACUUCUUUUAAGGGGGAAGAGGAGAAGACGGUACCCCUUGAAUAAGCCACGGCUAACUACGUGCCAGCAGCCGCGGUAAUACGUAGGUGGCAAGCGUUGUCCGGAUUUACUGGGUGUAAAGGGAGCGUAGACGGCAGCGCAAGUCUGAAGUGAAAUGCCGGGGCUUAACCCCGGAACUGCUUUGGAAACUGUGCAGCUAGAGUGCAGGAGAGGUAAGUGGAAUUCCUAGUGUAGCGGUGAAAUGCGUAGAUAUUAGGAGGAACACCAGUGGCGAAGGCGGCUUGCUGGACGACGACUGACGUUGAGGCUCGAAAGCGUGGGGAGCAAACAGGAUUAGAUACCCCUGUA
rnacentral:rRNA from 1 species